AUUGAACGCUGGCGGCAGGCCUAACACAUGCAAGUCGAACGAGUGGCGGACGGGUGAGUAAUGUCUGGGAAACUGCCUGAUGGAGGGGGAUAACUACUGGAAACGGUAGCUAAUACCGCAUACCAUCAGAUGUGCCCAGAUGGGAUUAGCUAGUUGGUGGGAGAACGGCGCACCAAGGAGACGAUCCCUAGCUGGUCUGAGAGGAUGACCAGCCACACUGGAACUGGGACACUGUCCAGACUCCGACGGGAGGCAGCAGUGGGGAAGAUAGCACAAUGGGCGCAAGCCUGAUUCAGCCAUGCCGCGUGUAGGAAGAGGGCCUUCGGGUUGUAAAGUACUUUCAGCGGGGAGGCGUUACCCGCAGAAGAAGCACCGGCUAACUCCGUGCCAGCAGCCGCGGUAAUAC
rnacentral:rRNA from 1 species